UCACUGUAUAUCUUGCCGUUAGCAGCUGC
rnacentral:sRNA from 1 species